AGCAGCCGCGGUAAUUCCAGCUCCAAUAGCGUAUAUUAAAGUUGUUGCAGUUAAAAAGCUCGUAGUUGAACUUCGGGGUUUACCCAUUGGUCAGGCUUAACUGUCUGUACUGGUGAGAUGAAUCUCUACCUUCUGAGGAACUUUCAUGCCAUUUAUUUGGUGUGAUUGGAAAUCAGGACUAUUACUUUGAAAAAAUUAGAGUGUUUAAAGCAGGCUAACGUCUGAAUACAUUAGCAUGGAAUAAUGAAAUAGGACGGACUGGUUCUAUUUUGUUGGUUUCUAGGAUCACCGUAAUGAUUAAUAGGGAUAGUUGGGGGCAUUAGUAUUCAAUUGUCAGAGGUGAAAUUCUUGGAUUUAUUGAAGACUAACUACUGCGAAAGCAUUUGCCAAGGAUGUUUUCAUUAAUCAAGAACGAAAGUUAGGGGAUCGAAGACGAUCAGAUACCGUCGUAGUCUUAACCAUAAACUAUGCCGACUAGGGAUCGGAUGAUGUUAAUUUUUUAAUGUACUCAUUCGGCGUA
rnacentral:rRNA from 1 species